rnacentral:rRNA from 1 species
CCUACGGGAGGCAGCAGUGGGGAAUCUUGCGCAAUGGGCGAAAGCCUGACGCAGCCAUGCCGCGUGAAUGAUGAAGGUCUUAGGAUUGUAAAAUUCUUUCACCGGGGACGAUAAUGACGGUACCCGGAGAAGAAGCCCCGGCUAACUUCGUGCCAGCAGCCGCGGUAAUACGAAGGGGGCUAGCGUUGCUCGGAAUUACUGGGCGUAAAGGGAGCGUAGGCGGAUAGUUAAGUCAGAGGUGAAAGCCCAGGGCUCAACCUUGGAAUUGCCUUUGAUACUGGCUAUCUUGAGUAUGGGAGAGGUAAGCGGAACUCCGAGUGUAGAGGUGAAAUUCGUAGAUAUUCGGAAGAACACCAGUGGCGAAGGCGGCUUACUGGCCCAUUACUGACGCUGAGGCUCGAAAGCGUGGGGAGCAAACAGGAUUAGAUACCCUGGUAGUCCACGCCGUAAACGAUGAGAGCUAGUUGUCGGCAUGCAUGCAUGUCGGUGACGCAGCUACGACAUAAGUACUCUCCGUCCGUCGGGUAGGUACGGUCGCGAAGAAUUAAAACUUAAAUUAAGUAAGUUAGACGGACGUGAGACGUGCCGACGGACGACGACGAGGGAGGUAGG